GUCCAGGAGGGAGGUGGGGGAGUCAGCCCCCCACCCGGCCAGCCGCCCCGUCCGGGAGGGAGGUGGGGGGGUCAGCCCCCCGCCCGGCCAGCCACCCCGUCCGGGAGGGAGGUGGGGGUGUCAGCCCCACGUCCGGGAGGGAGGUGGGGGGGUUCAGCCCCCCGCCCGGCCAGCCGCCCCGUCUGGGAGGGAGGUGGGGUCAGCCCCCCGCCCGGCCAGCCGCCCCGUCCGGGAGGUGAGGGGCGCCUCUGCCCAGCCGCCCCUACUGGGAAGUGAGGAGCCCCUCUGCCGGGCCAGCCACCCCGUCCGGGAGGGAGGUGGGGGGCUCAGCCCCCCGCCCGGCCAGCCGACCCGUCCGGGAGGGAGGUGGGGGGGUCAGCCCCCCGCCCGGCCAGCCGCCCCGUCCAGGAGGUGAGGGGCGCCUCUGCCCGGCCGCCCCUACUGGGAAGUGAGGAGCCCCUCUGCCCAGCCAGCCGCCCCGUCCGGGAGGGAGGUGGGGGGGUCAGCCCCCCGCCCGGCCAGCCGCCCCGUCCGGGAGGGAGGUGGGGGGGUCAGCCCCCCGCCCGGCCAGCCGCCCCGUCCGGGAGGUGAGGGGCGCCUCUGCCCGGCCACCCCUACUGGGAAGUGAGGAGCCCCUCUGCCCAGCCACCACCUCGUCUGGGAGGUGUACCCAACAGCUCAUUGAGAACGGGCCGGGAUGACAAUGGCGGUUUUGUGGAAUAGAAAGGGGGGAAAGGUGGGGAAAAGAUUGAGAAAUCGGAUGGUUGCCGUGUCUGUGUAGAAAGA
rnacentral:lncRNA from 1 species